UAGGACCCUGUUAAAUACCCUUGCCUGCACGCUGCGCGAUCCUUUCCGUUCUGAGGACGCUGCAGUGCCUCAGGUAGCUGUGAAUGCUCUGUGCUGUAUUUGUUACAUCUCAAUUAUAUUAUGUACGCUAAAACACAGUUUAGUGUUUUAUAUUUAUAUUUGCUUAAAACGCCGAUGUGGCUUGUCGUUAACGCUAAUUCAAGACCUGCAAAGUGACACCGCAGCGCUUCUGGCCUCGCCUUUAGUCAGAGAGCAACAUGUUUAAUCCAGUGCGACUUGAUGCUAUUGCGUUAAUCGUGUUGCAGAUCAUAUCUACUUGAACUGAACAAUGAUGUGCUGAAGUUGCAGCAGUUUCCCAAUUUGGUGGGAGGAACGGACGUUGCCAGGUAUCUGAUGUCAACCACUUACAACCAAUAGGUGGGCGGAACAAACUUUGCCAGGUAUCCGAUGUCAACCGCUUACAACCAAUAGGUUGGAUUCCAGCAGAAUGGUUGAUCGCUACAGUUGAUGACUACUGGGUAAGAAGUAGUUUCUUUUUCUUUGGUCUUUGCAAGUGUGGCCCAUGUACAAUCUCUAACAAAGUGUUUAUUUUCAAGGUUUUCAGCAAAGGGUUUGAAGCCAAUAUGGACGUUGUCUCUAGCCCAUGAAGCUACGUAAGGUUGGUGUCCUAACAGCAUUUCAGAUGUUUUAUCAGUGAUGUGCAGUGAGGAUUCAACAGACUAGAGUUUCUGAUGACAACAUGAAGUUCUUCACAUUACUGAGCACAGCUUUUGAUUAUUAUAAUCUAUUUUGUUACGAAGAACGUCUAGAUGACAUUGGAUUUUAAUUUUUUUAGGUUGACGUGAUGCCAGAAUUAUGUGCCAAUGAUGGGCGUAUUCCUUUGAAUGCACAGACCUGUCACUCUGUAAGUACAGGUCAUGUAAAUUUAACUUGGGUUAUAAUUGGGUGUUAAUGAUGAAUGCGUUGUUCGGUUCCACUGAAACUCAAUGAAGUAACUUUCUCGCGGCGCACUGAAACACAGACAGACAACAAAUACACUUAUUUUCCCCAUUUGUAAUCUAAUACACCUGUUUUCUUUUAAGGACGGAGGUUUAUGCUGUGGCAGAAGAGUUGUGGUGACCGGUUUGGAGCACGAUGUUGAACCGUCCAGCUUUGUAGUAUUGUGUAUCAUAACUUAAACACUUGUUUCACUGUCAUUGUAUAUCAUUCCCAGAACCGUUUGAGAAAGUAACUGCUUGUUUUUGACUUCGCAGUUCUUUGUAUACUAUUAAAUUGACUACUUUUACGUUGAAUAAAAGUCACCGUUUAUAGCUCAAUAUGAAGUUGCUGAUUUUAUGGAAGUAGCAGGUCCACCUUGAAGGUUUAUGCCUUAAUCUUAUGCAUGUUGUAGGAUACUGUCAAACAUAAGUGCAAAUGCUAUCUUAACUAUUAAAAAAACAUAUAUGUUUGGUUUUUUUUGGAGAUUAAGAAUCAGUUUGUGUAGGCUUUUUUUGUGCUUUAUGUAUGGUCUACCG
rnacentral:lncRNA from 1 species